ACUUUUUAGGUUAGCGGCGAAGGUUGCAGUCGCCACCAACAGGUAGUGAAAGUAAAGCAGGUUAUUGACUGCGCCAGUCUCAUUGUAACGUCCAACACAUGUAAAAGACACUGACGACCGUCCCGAUUAUCGAUUGCAAAUUCGGGAGAGGGAAAAGCCAUGGCAGACUGUCUACUGGUUUGGGGCCCAAGGCCGCGACGCGCGACGACCUGUCCCGUCGUAAUGUAAUUACGAUAUUCUAGAGAGCCGUGGAAAAUGAAGUCACCGGCAUUGCAGCGUCCAACUUUCGACCGCUUUGUCCGAGAUUGCGAGGAGGAAGCCAUCAAU